rnacentral:rRNA from 1 species
GCACUAAGCCAGUAAGGUCACGGGCAGAACACCCGUUGAUAGGUUCUAGAUGGAAGUGCAGCAAUGCAUGCAGUCGAGGAAUACUAACAGACCGAGGGCUUGACCUC